AACUAGAUAUGCUAGGGGUACAAAAACAACCAGCUAAACAUCAAAUUAAGAGUCCAUGUUAUUGACUCUCCAAAGUCUUUGGAUCCUUAUGUUUUCAUCUGUUUGUUGAACAUUCCUCAUCAAAACAAGCUUAUCGCGAAUGAUACAUUCGAUUUGAUCAAAAACCAAAUUCGAAGCUUUAGACACAUCUGCAAAGAUCCUUGCGUUCCGUUCUUGCCAGAUACAAUACACUGUAGCUGUGAAACCCAGUUUACGAGAAAAGUUGACGAAACUUUUGCCAUGCCAAG
rnacentral:lncRNA from 1 species